UACGGAGGGUGCAAGCGUUGUUCGGAAUUACUGGGCGUAAAGCGCACGUAGGCGGAUUUGUAAGUCAGAUGUGAAAGCCCCGGGCUUAACCUGGGAAUUGCAUUUGAAACUGCAAACCUUGAAUGCUUGAGAGGGUGACGGAAUUCCUGGUGUAGAAGUGAAAUUCGUAGAUAUCAGGAGGAACACCGGAGGCGAAGGCGGUUGCCUGGCGAUGCAUUGACGCUGAGGUGCGAAAGCGUGGGUAGCAAACAGG
rnacentral:rRNA from 1 species